ACCCCCUGGCAAUGGGCAAAGAUGCACCUUUUUGGUGGUGUUGUUCUUAUAUCAGUCGGGGGCAGAACAGAUGGCAGUCCUUUGUUCAUCCUAGCUUGAUGCCUGGCUUGGUGGCCGAAGCUGUUUCAUGCCUAGGGCACAUAA
rnacentral:snoRNA from 1 species